AGUCGAGCGGUAGAGAGAAGCUUGCUUCUCUUGAGAGCGGCGGACGGGUGAGUAAUGCCUAGGAAUCUGCCUGGUAGUGGGGGAUAACGCUCGGAAACGGACGCUAAUACCGCAUACGUCCUACGGGAGAAAGCAGGGGACCUUCGGGCCUUGCGCUAUCAGAUGAGCCUAGGUCGGAUUAGCUAGUUGGUGAGGUAAUGGCUCACCAAGGCGACGAUCCGUAACUGGUCUGAGAGGAUGAUCAGUCACACUGGAACUGAGACACGGUCCAGACUCCUACGGGAGGCAGCAGUGGGGAAUAUUGGACAAUGGGCGAAAGCCUGAUCCAGCCAUGCCGCGUGUGUGAAGAAGGUCUUCGGAUUGUAAAGCACUUUAAGUUGGGAGGAAGGGCAGUUACCUAAUACGUAUCUGUUUUGACGUUACCGACAGAAUAAGCACCGGCUAACUCUGUGCCAGCAGCCGCGGUAAUACAGAGGGUGCAAGCGUUAAUCGGAAUUACUGGGCGUAAAGCGCGCGUAGGUGGUUUGUUAAGUUGGAUGUGAAAUCCCCGGGCUCAACCUGGGAACUGCAUUCAAAACUGACAAGCUAGAGUAUGGUAGA
rnacentral:rRNA from 1 species